rnacentral:rRNA from 1 species
UACGUAGGGGGCAAGCGUUUGUCCGGAAUCAUUGGGCGUAAAGAGCGUGUAGGCGGCUCGAUAAGUCUGCUGUGAAAGUCCAGGGCUCAACCCUGGAAGGCCGGUGGAAACUGUCGGGCUAGAGUCCGGAAGAGGCGAGUGGAAUUCCCGGUGUAGCGGUGAAAUGCGCAGAUAUCGGGAGGAACACCAAUGGCGAAGGCAGCUCGCUGGGACGGUACUGACGCUGAGACGCGAAAGCGUGGGGAGCAAACAGG